UACGAAGGGGGCUAGCGUUGCUCGGAAUUACUGGGCGUAAAGGGCGCGUAGGCGGUGUGUCGCGUCGGCCGUGAAAACCUGCAGCUUAACUGUGGGCUUGCGGUCGAUACGGGCAUCACUGGAGUUCGGCAGGGGAGACUGGAAUUCCUGGUGUAGCGGUGAAAUGCGCAGAUAUCAGGAGGAACACCGGUGGCGAAGGCGGGUCUCUGGGCCGAUACUGACGCUGAGGAGCGAAAGCGUGGGGAGCGAACAGG
rnacentral:rRNA from 1 species